rnacentral:misc_RNA from 1 species
GAUGAAGAACGUAGCGAAAUGCGAUAAGUAAUGCGAAUUGCAGAAUUCAGUGAAUCAUCGAAUCUUUGAACGCACAUUGCGCCCGCCAGUAUUCUGGCGGGCAUGCCUGUCUGAGCGUCGUUUCGACCCUCGCGCCCGGCUUCUGUCGGGGGCGGUGUUGGGGAUCGGCCACACCCUUCAGUGGGAGGCCGGCCCCUAAAUUCAGUGGCGACCACGCUGUAGCCUCCCCUGCGUAGUACUAAAACCACCUCGCAGGCGGAGAGCGGUGCGGCCCGCCGUAAAACCCCCCAACUUUUACAAGGUCGACCUCAGAUCAGGUAGGAAUACCCUGAACUUAAGCAUAUCAAUAAGCGGAGGA